rnacentral:rRNA from 1 species
UACGUAGGGUGCAAGCGUUAAUCGGAAUUACUGGGCGUAAAGCGUGCGUAGGCGGUUUUGUAAGUCUGUCGUGAAAUCCCCGGGCUCAACCUGGGAAUGGCGAUGGAGACUGCAAGGCUAGAGUUUGGCAGAGGGGGGUAGAAUUCCACGUGUAGCAGUGAAAUGCGUAGAUAUGUGGAGGAACACCGAUGGCGAAGGCAGCCCCCUGGGUCAAAACUGACGCUCAUGCACGAAAGCGUGGGGAGCAAACAGG